GGUUUGGGUGUGUCCCCACCCAAAAUUUCAUCUUGAAUUGUAAUCCCCAUAAUCACCAUAAUCCCCAAAUGUCAAGGAAGAGACAAGGGGGAGGCAACUGAAUCAUGGAGGCGGCUUCCUCCAAGCUGUUCUCAUGAUAGUGAGUCAGUUUUCACGAGAUGUGAUGGUUUUAUAAGUGUUUGAUAGUUCCACCUGUGUUCAUUCUCCUUCCUGACACCCUGUGAAGAAGGUGCCUUGCUUCCCCUUUGCCUUCCACCACAAUGCUAAGUUUCUUGAGGCCUCCCGAGACAUGCUGAACUGUGAGUCAGUCAACUAAGCCUCUUUCCUUUAUAAAUUACCCAGUUUCAGGCAAUUCUUUAUAGCAAUGUGAAAAUGGACUAAUAUACAACUGAAGUCAUUUGGUAAAAUAAGCUUCAAGAUUCCUCUUUUCAUCUCUCACUGAAGAAAUAUACCCCUUUUCAUAAGAAAAUCUACAAAGAGUAUUUAUAAGAAAUUGGUGCAUGGCUGUGCUUCAACUCCUCAGUGCAUGAUAUGAAAGAAAAUCAGAUGAGGUUGCAAGAAAUAAAUUUUGUGUUAGACAUCAGAGACCAUUUCUUGACAGGAAAAGUUGUUUGUGAUGUGUGCAGCAUGGUUUCUCAAGAUCUGGCUGUAUAAACAAUGGACAGGGCUGAGAACCAGGAAGUGCAGUGUCUCUGGGAUCUAUGCUUGAUGCCUCUAACUCUGCUUAGCACUGAGUAUGUAGGAUAGUCCCCAUGAUUGACAACUCAUAUUAAACUGUAUAUGGAAGCACAAACAUUGAAGAAUAGCCAAACAUUCUUGAAGAAAAGAAACAAAUGGAGAGAACUUGUCCUUCAAAUAUCAUUUACUAUAAUAAAGCUGUAGUAAUUAAGAAGGCAUGGUUUUGGCACAGGGAUAAGCACUCAAACCAAUGAGAGAAAAUGGAAUUCUAAAAUAUGAAAAUUAUUCAAACGGGGCUGGCAUUCCUGAUUGAUGGAAAGCACAGACUAGUCAAUUAAUGCAAUAGUUGGUCAUUCAUAUGAGGAAAAAAUGAAAUUAGGUUAGCUUAUACCAUACAAAAUUCAAUCACAAAUGGAUUAAAAACCUAUAAACAAACAAAAAACUCUAUUAAAUAUUUAGAAGACACUAUGUGAGAAUAUUUUUAAAACUUGAGAUAAAUGAUUCCUUAAGGUACAAAACAGCAAAAAAUGACAACCUUUAUUAUAUAAAAAUUAAUUUGUGUUUUCCAGAAUCACAAAAAAGAAAAAAAGCAAGGUAAAAAUAGAGAAAAGAUAUUAGCAACAAAAAUUAGAUAAAAUACUAGUAUUUGGAGUAUCAAAUGGAUUCUGAGAAUCAAAGAGAAAAAAAUCAGUUUAAUAUAAUGAUAGAUAAGAGGAAUAAAUAGGAAUUUCAUAUGAGAGGAAGCACAAAUCUCAUAUAAACAUGUGAACAAGCCUUUAACAUCAUUAGUAGCCAGGGAAAAACAAGACCACACCCCAAAAAUUAAGAACAUAGACCAUUUCAUUCUCAUAAGAUGGUCAAUAGUCAAAAUUGUGCCAAAUAUAGAGCAAGGGAAGCUCCAGUCUCCUACUGGUGGGAGAGUAAAUUGAUACAAUCAUUUUGGAAAACAGUUUGACAUUACCUGCUACAGCUGAAAACAAACAUGUUCUAUAAACCAGGAAUUCUACCGUUAGAUAUUUAAUCCAUAAAAACUCAAAAGACAAAUGCACAAAGUUUACAGUUUUGUUUGUUUAAACAAAAAGAAAAAAAGGAAAACUGAAGCAAGUCAAAUGUUCUUCAGAAGUAGAAAGAACAUUUAAAUUGAAACAAAAUUUCACAAUGAACUGUGAUAGGGCAUUGAGUGAAUUACUACAGAGGAGGGGUGGGUAAACCAAAACCUACAGAGCAGUCAAAUGUUUUUAUAAAUAAAGUUUUAUUGGAGCACAAUCACAUCAAUUUGUUUAUGUAUUGUGUAUGGCUGCUUUCGUACUAUAAUAGAGUUGAGUAGGUGCAACAGAGACCGCAUGGCCUGCGAAGACUAAAAUAAUUACUAACUAGUCCUUUACAGAAAAAGUUUGCUGACUCAUAUUAAAGAUAAUUAAAAGGACUAAUAACAUUUUUUCAAAUCAACAUGAAUGAAUCUCAGAGUUAUUAUGAUUAUAUUGAAUAAUG
rnacentral:lncRNA from 10 species